rfam:Triticum aestivum genome assembly, contig: Triticum_aestivum_CS42_TGACv1_scaffold_571550_7AS
UAUUUACUCCCUCCGUCCGAAAAAGCUUGUCCCUCAAAUGGAUGUAUCUAGCACCAAGUUAGUGAUAGAUACAUCCAUUUGAGGGACAAGCUUUUCCGGACGGAGGGAGUAGGAC